rnacentral:rRNA from 1 species
AAUAUUGGUCAAUGGAGGCAACUCCGAACCAGCCAAGUCGCGUGAAGGAUGACUGCCCUACGGGUUGUAAACUUCUUUUUUAAGGGAAUAAAGUGAGCCACGUGUGGCUUUUUGCAUGUAUCUUACGCAUAAGGAUCGGUGAACUCCGUGCCAGUAGCCGCGGUAAUACGGAGGAUCCGAGCGUUAUCCGGAUUUAUUGGGUUUCAAGGGUGCGCAGGCGGAAUAUUAAGUCGGCGGUGAAAGUUUGCAGCUUAACUGUAAAAUUGCCGUUGAAACUGGUUUUCUUGAGUGUAUAUGAAGUAGGCGGAAUUUGUAGUGUAGCGGUGAAAUGCAUAGAUAUUACAAGGAACUCCGAUUGCGAAGGCAGCUUACUAAAAUACAGCUGACGCUCAGGCACGAAGGCGUGGGUAUCAAACA